GCCACAUCUGCGGAGUACCACAGUGGUUUCUUGAAUUUUUUGCUUUUACUGACAAGCCUAAUGCAAUUUUCUGUUGCCUUCAAUAGUGCAACUUUUAAAUAAUCCCAUUUCUCUUGUACUCCAUUUCAAUUGCUCCAGUCUGAUAAUAACUCCUCUACCCAUAUUCUAAUUUUAGAAAAGUCUGUUUUUCUAAAGUCUAAA